rnacentral:rRNA from 1 species
CCUACGGGAGUCAGCAGUGGGGAAUAUUGGGCAAUGGAGGCAACUCUGACCCAGCAACGCCGCGUGACGGAAGAAGGCCUUAUGGUUGUAAACUUAUGUUUUAAAGGAAGAAAAGAAUGACGGUACUUUACAAGAAAGCCCCGGCUAACUAUGUGCCAGCAGCCGCUGUCAGACAUAGGGCGCAAGUGUUGUUCAGAAUUCCUGGGCGUAAAGGGAGUGUUGGCGGGAGAUUAAGUUAAGAGUUAAAGCCUUGGGCUCAACCCAAGAAAUGCUCUUAAGACUGGUUUUCUAGAGGGAGGGAGAGGUAAGUGGAAUGCCUAGUGUAGCGGUAGAAGGCGUAGAGAUUAGGAGGAACAUCAGAGGCGAAGGCGGCUUACUGGACCAUAACUGACGCUGAGGCUCGAAAGCGUGGGGAGCGAACAGGAUUAGAUACCCGUGUAGUC